UACGUAGGUGGCAAGCGUUGUCCGGAAUUAUUGGGCGUAAAGCGCGCGCAGGCGGUCCUUUAAGUCUGAUGUGAAAGCCCACGGCUCAACCGUGGAGGGUCAUUGGAAACUGGGGGACUUGAGUGCAGGAGAGAAAAGUGGAAUUCCACGUGUAGCGGUGAAAUGCGUAGAGAUGUGGAAGAACAUCAGUGGCGAAGGCGGUCUGCUGGGCCGUUGCUGACGCUGAGGCGCGACAGCGUGGGGAGCAAACAGG
rnacentral:rRNA from 1 species